UCGGAUCCUCUGUCCCAAUUUCCUGUCCCACUUCGUGUCCCCAAAGCAAAACUACAGCGUUUUGAUUUAAAUCAAUUAUCUUUUCUUUUGUUAACAUUCCCACCGAUCGGCUCGGCUGGUUGAAGCCGCAAAUCAUCUUCUUCUUCUUCUUUCCUUCUCCAUCUAAAUCUCCUCUAUUCUCUCUUGGAAAAUUUCUCCCUCCACCGAAAAAUGGGAAUUUCAUAUUCUGAAUUUCUUCAAGUUGGUGGAUAUGAGAUAACCGACCGUUUUGAUAUUGAGACUCCCAUGACUGGUCGAGAAGUGCAACGUCUUACCUGCAAAAAUUUUUAGUCUACCGAGAGACUUGUUGACUGCUCAACAUAUUUGCAACUUGGGAACAUGAAACAUUUUUGGCUGAAAAAUAAAGGAAGGAAAAGAGAAGGAAGGACAUGGAUAUGUUGAAGGCUGUUGAGGCUUAUCUUCACGCAAAUUCUGAUGCUUGAAAGCUCCAUACAUAAAGCUCUAUAUAUGUUGUUUUAUCUUGGUUUGUUGUUCAUUUUAAGUUAGCAUUGGACCUUGUAGGGUGUGAGUUGUAAGCAGUUGUGAUUUUCUAUUCAAAUAAAAGAGUGUUUCUUUGUA